rnacentral:rRNA from 1 species
AUUGAACGCUGGCGGCAUGCCUUACACAUGCAAGUCGAACGGUAACGCGGGGCAACCUGGCGUCGAGUGGCGAACGGGUGAGUAACGCAUCGGAACGUGCCCAGUAGUGGGGGAUAGCCCGGCGAAAGCCGGAUUAAUACCGCAUACGACCUACGGGUGAAAGGGGGGGAUCGCAAGACCUCUCGCUAUUGGAGCGGCCGAUGUCAGAUUAGGUAGUUGGUGGGGUAAAAGCCUACAAAGCCGACGAUCUGUAGCUGGUCUGAGAGGACGACCGGCCACACUGGGACUGAGACACGGCCCAGACUCCUACGGGAGGCAGCAGUGGGGAAUGUUGGACAAUGGGCGCAAGCCUGAUCCAGCCAUGCCGCGUGCGGGAAGAAGGCCUUCGGGUUGUAAACCGCUUUUGUCAGGGAAGAAAUCCUUUGGGUUAAUACCCCGGGGGGAUGACGGUACCUGAAGAAUAAGCACCGGCUAACUACGUGCCAGCCGCCGCAGUAAUAC